GGCAGCUAAAUGCAAUGCAUUUUUACCAUUGGACCUAGAAAUUUCCAGUAAGGUGCAAUCCUUUGACAGCAGUUCAUUGACCACUGCAAUAUGUCCUCUUGAGGCAGCAGUUAUAAGAGGGGUUGCAUUUGAAGGGCCAAAUGUUUUACUUAGUCCGGUAUCAUGCUCUAAAAGCAAUUGGACGAUUCCAUGGUGUCCUUGACUUGCAGCUAUAUGCAAAGGAUCAAAUCCUGACCGAUUCUUCUUAGUAACAGUAUCCUUGUUGCAGUACUUCAAUAAUUCUUUCAAUACCUCAAGAUAUCCCUUCGCUGCUGCUGUAAAGAGUGCUGUCUCUCCUAAUUCAUUCACUUCAUUCACUACGGAUGCUCUGAUCUCCGCGACCUCUUGAUUAAAGUCAUCGCCGCUCAGCGUCCCGACCAUUUGACUAUCAAUGUCAUUAAGUAUCUGCUUCACUGCUGCUAGAUCACCUUUCUGAGCUGCUAAAUGAAGCUCAGUGUCAUUGUGCCUUCCCGUAACCUGUUUUACAUAUUUCUUUUUCCCUGCUUGGUCAAUUCUCUUGCCAGAAUUGGAAAGCACCAGAGCUGGUGCUGUUGCGGAAGAUGGAGAUGGGGUUGGUGAUGGCUCAGCUAGAGGGUUAUGGCUUGGUGUUGGAGUAAUCAGUCCUUUCUCGACAUCUCUCUCACCUUCUUCCACAGGAGAAGCCAUAGAAAGGGGAAAAAAAUUAAUUUCAGAGAGGAAUUGAAGUAAACGGAGAGUCAAGAAAAAUGAGAGUUUUUAUCAGAUUUGAGAAAUGAGAA
rnacentral:misc_RNA from 1 species